rnacentral:rRNA from 1 species
AUUGAACGCUGGCGGCAGGCCUAACACAUGCAAGUCGAACGAGUGGCGGACGGGUGAGUAAUGCCUGAGAACCUGACUGAUGGUGGGGGAUAACUGCUGGAAACGGUAGCUAAUACCGCAUACCAUCGGAUGUGCCGAGAUGGGAUUAGCUAGGAGGUGGGGUAACGGAUCACCUAGGCGACGAUCCCUAGCUGGUCUGAGAGGAUGACCAGCCACACUGGAACGGAGACACGGUCCAGACUCCAACGGGAGGCAGCAGUGGGGAGUAUUGCACAAUGGGCGCAAGCCUGAUGCAGCCAUGCCGCGUGUAUGAAGAAGGCCUUCGGGUUGUAAAGUACUUUCAGCUGGGAGGCGUUACCCGCAGAAGAAGCACCGGCUAACUCCGUGCCAGCAGCCGCGGUAAUAC